rnacentral:tRNA from 1 species
AUUUUUAGAAAGUUUUAAAUUGAUUUGCAAUCAAUUAAUAUGCUCUGCAUAC